AUUGAACGCUGGCGGCAUGCCUUACACAUGCAAGUCGAACGGUAACGCGGGGCAACCUGGCGACGAGUGGCGAACGGGUGAGUAAUACAUCGGAACGUGCCCAGUAGUGGGGGAUAGCCCGGCGAAAGCCGGAUUAAUACCGCAUACGACCUACGGGUGAAAGCGGGGGAUCGCAAGACCUCGCGCUAUUGGAGCGGCCGAUGUCAGAUUAGGUAGUUGGUGGGGUAAAGGCCUACCAAGCCUACGAUCUGUAGCUGGUCUGAGAGGACGACCAGCCACACUGGGACUGAGACACGGCCCAGACUCCUACGGGAGGCAG
rnacentral:rRNA from 1 species